rnacentral:rRNA from 1 species
AUUCCCCUAGUAACUGCGAGUGAAGCGGGAAAAGCUCAAAUUUAAAAUCUGGUGGUCUUUGGCCGUCCGAGUUGUAAUUUAGAGAAGCGUCUUCCGCGCUGGACCGUGCACAAGUCUCCUGGAAUGGAGCGUCAUAGAGGGUGAGAAUCCCGUCUUUGGCACGGACACACCAGGGCUUCUGUGAUGCGCUCUCGAAGAGUCGAGUUGUUUGGGAAUGCAGCUCAAAAUGGGUGGUGAACUCCAUCUAAAGCUAAAUAUUGGCGAGAGACCGAUAGCGAACAAGUACCGUGAGGGAAAGAUGAAAAGCACUUUGGAAAGAGAGUGAAACAGUACGUGAAAUUGUUGAAAGGGAAACGCUUGAAGUCAGUCGCGUCGACCGAGACUCAGCCUUGCCUUGGCUUGGUGUACUUCUCGGCUGACGGGUCAGCAUCAAUUUUGCCCCUUGGAUAAUGGUAAGGGAAAUGUGACACCUUUAUGGUGUGUUAUAGUCUCUUGUCGCAUGCAAGGGUUGGGAUUGAGGAACUCAGCACGCGCCUCUGGGCGUCGGGGCUUUGCCCACGAUACGUGCUUAGGAUGUUGGCAUAAUGGCUUUAAACGACCCGUCUUGAAACACGGACCAAGGAGUCUAACAUGCCUGCGAGUGUUCGGGUGGAAAACCCGUGCGCGCAAUGAAAGUGAAAGUCGGGACCUCUGUCGUGGAGGGCACCGACGCCCGGACCAGACCUUCUGUGACGGCUCUGCGGUAAAGCAUGUAUGUUAGGACCCGAAAGAUGGUGAACUAUGCCUGAAUAGGGUGAAGCCAGAGGAAACUCUGGUGGAGGCUCGUAGCGAUUCUGACGUGCAAAUCGAUCGUCAAAUUUGGGUAUAGGGGCGAAAGAC